rnacentral:lncRNA from 1 species
CGAAGAUAAACCGCCGGAAUAUGACAGGCAGAAGCAUCUAAAGCUUAUAAAAAUGAAGAGAACAGCAUGUCGCCUGAGUAUUACAAUACAGAAAUCAAGAGACACAUUAGGUGGAACUGAUCAGCCACAAAAACAGUUCAAAAGGCAGAUCGUAGAAACAGAGGACCAGGCUGGGGGAGAAAUGGGGCCAAUCUGGUCCACUGCCUCCCCUCCCUUGGAGCCUGGAGCCCCUGCCCACCCUGCCCCUCUAGGAGGGUGGAGUGGCCAAUGCAGUUGCUCCCCUGGCCUCCGGUCCAGUCCCAGUCCUGGCCAUGACUUCCUAGCAAUGGUUUCCAGGGCAGGAGAGCCAGAGGCUGCUGCUCAGCGCCCACAUGCCGCAUUCUACCGACACCCCAGCUUCCGCUCUGUGAUGUAGGAUCAGAAGGCGCAGAACCUGGGAAGUGGGCGGUCAGGACACACACUUCUCCUGGCAGGGCUCCAAGGAGCUAGAGAUGGCGCCUGGGAGCACCCAGCAGCCCAGCUCCCUGCAAAGGGCUCCUUAGUCCUGCAGACAGGCAGCGGCCUCCGUCCCUCGGAUGGGUCCCUGCUGCCCACCCAGUAGCGCCCAAGCCAACCAGGGUAAUGACUUAAAGGAAUGUUUGCCAGAACUUUCUUAGAGGCAUACAAUUACUUUUUUUUUUUUUUUUUAACAAAGCCUCUCAUUUUAAUUAAAGUCAGAGCACAUAAUGAAAAGGUGCUUCUCCACAGAGUUUUGUCCUUAGAGCUGUGUGUUCACCAACACUGAUGGGAACAAGCAGCUCCAGGUUAAAGGACAACAGGACUCCACAGUAGGAUGUAGCCUGCGGUUGUCACUCCUGAUUGUGAAAACCCUCUGGGACAGCAAAGCAAGAACUGUUUUGUGGAAUGCUUGGCUAUUUAAAAUUAGCAUUCUCCCUGCCCCCCCCCCAUUUUUUUGGCAUAAUAAAC